rnacentral:tRNA from 1 species
ACUCCGUUAGUCUAAUGGAAAGGCACCGGUCUUCUAAACCGGCAAUUAAUGUAGGUUCGAAUCCUACACGGAGUG